AUUGAACGCUGGCGGCAGGCCUAACACAUGCAAGUCGGACGGUAGCACAGAGAGCUUGCUCUCGGGUGACGAGUGGCGGACGGGUGAGUAAUGUCUGGGGAUCUGCCCGAUAGAGGGGGAUAACCACUGGAAACGGUGGCUAAUACCGCAUAACGUCGCAAGACCAAAGAGGGGGACCUUCGGGCCUCUCACUAUCGGAUGAACCCAGAUGGGAUUAGCUAGUAGGCGGGGUAAUGGCCCACCUAGGCGACGAUCCCUAGCUGGUCUGAGAGGAUGACCAGCCACAAUGGAACUGAGACACGGUCCAGACUCCUACGGGAGGCAGCAGUGGGGAAUAUUGCACAAUGGGCGCAAGCCUGAUGCAGCUAUGCCGCGUGUAUGAAGAAGGCCUUCGGGUUGUAAAGUACUUUCAGCGGGGAGGAAGGCGGUGCGGUUAAUAACCGCGCCGAUUGACGUUACCCGCAGAAGAAGCACCGACUAACUCCGUGCCAGCCGCCGCAGUAA
rnacentral:rRNA from 1 species